UCUUCCGCAAUGGACGAAAGUCUGACGGAGCAACGCCGCGUGAGUGAUGAAGGUUUUUGGAUCGUAAAACUCUGUUGUUAGGGAAGAAANAGUACCGGUCGAAUAGGGCGGCACAUUGACGGUACCUGACUAGAAAGCCACGGCUAACUACGUGCCAGCAGCCGCGGUAAUACGUAGGUGGCAAGCGUUGUCCGGAAUUAUUGGGCGUAAAGCGCGCGCAGGCGGUUUCUUAAGUCUGAUGUGAAAGCCCCCGGCUCAACCGGGGAGGUGCAUUGGAAACUGGGGAACUUGAGUGCAGAAGAGGAGAGUGGAAUUCCACGUGUAGCGGUGAAAUGCGUAGAGAUGUGGAGGAACACCAGUGGCGAAGGCGACUCUCUGGUCUGUAACUGACGCUGAGGCGCGAAAGCGUGGGGAGCGAACAG
rnacentral:rRNA from 1 species